AGAUGCAAGGGCAAUAUGUCUGUGACAUCUAUCACUCCACUGGUUGCCAGAAUUGAUUCUGCUAAUCUGUCAAGCUAUGUGAAUGUGCCAUUCCUUCCUCAAAUUUUUGUGUGAGUUGCUCUCAAAGCUUUGUGUUCUGGACAGAGGAGGGUUCAUCUUUAGUUGAGUAUAUGAUAGUUGCAUUCUCCAGCUAGAACUUACAGAAAAGCAUAUAGUUUAUUCCUAACCAAUUAGUUGAUACACACACACACACAAACACACACACACACUUGUGUUGUCUGACUGAACUACAA
rnacentral:snRNA from 1 species